rnacentral:rRNA from 1 species
GACGAACGCUGGCGGCGUGCUUAACACAUGCAAGUCGAACGGAAAGGCCCUGCUCUUGUGGGGUGCUCGUGUGGCGAACGGGUGUGUAACACGUGAGUAACCUGCCCUUGACUUUGGGAUAACUUCAGGAAACUGGGGCUAAUACCGGAUAGGAGCUCCUGCUGCAUGGUGGGGGUUGGAAAGUUUCGGCGGGUGGGGAUGGACUCGCGGCUUAUCAGCUUGUUUGUGGGGUAGUGGCUUACCAAGGUUUUGAAGGGUAGCCGGCCUGAGAGGGUGACCGGCCACAUUGGGACUGAGGUACGGCCCAGACUCCAACGGGAGGCAGCAGUGGGAAAUAUGGCACAAUGGGCGGAAGCCUGAUGCAGCAACGCCGCGUGCGGGAUGACGGCCUUCGGGUUGUAAACCGCUUUCGCCUGUGACGAGGCGUGAGUGACGGUAAUGGGUAAAGAAGCACCGGCUAACUACGUG